GAUGAACGCUGGCGGCGUGCCUAAUACAUGCAAGUCGAGCGAACGGACGAGAAGCUUGCUUCUCUGAUGUUAGCGGCGGACGGGUGAGUAACACAUGGAUAACCUACCUAUAAGACUGGGAUAACUUCGGGAAACCGGAGCUAAUACCGGAUGAUAUUUUGAACCGCAUGGUUCAAAAGUGAAAGACGGUCUUGCUGUCACUUAUAGAUGGAUCCGCGCUGCAUUAGCUAGUUGGUAAGGUAACGGCUUACCAAGGCAACGAUGCGUAGCCGACCUGAGAGGGUGAUCGGCCACACUGGAACUGAGACACGGUCCAGACUCCUACGGGAGGCAGCAGUAGGGAAUCUUCCGCAAUGGGCGAAAGCCUGACGGAGCAACGCCGCGUGAGUGAUGAAGGUCUUCGGAUCGUAAAACUCUGUUAUUAGGGAAGAACAUAUGUGUAAGUAACUGUGCACAUCUUGACGGUACCUAAUCAGAAAGCCACGGCUAACUACGUGCCAGCAGCCGCGGUAAUACGUAGGUGGCAAGCGUUAUCCGGAAUUAUUGGGCGUAAAGCGCGCGUAGGCGGUUUUUUAAGUCUGAUGUGAAAGCCCACGGCUCAACCGUGGAGGGUCAUUGGAAACUGGAAAACUUGAGUGCAGAAGAGGAAAGUGGAAUUCCAUGUGUAGCGGUGAAAUGCGCAGAGAUAUGGAGGAACACCAGUGGCGAAGGCGACUUUCUGGUCUGUAACUGACGCUGAUGUGCGAAAGCGUGGGGAUCAAACAGGAUUAGAUACCCUGGUAGUCCACGCCGUAAACGAUGAGUGCUAAGUGUUAGGGGGUUUCCGCCCCUUAGUGCUGCAGCUAACGCAUUAAGCACUCCGCCUGGGGAGUACGACCGCAAGGUUGAAACUCAAAGGAAUUGACGGGGACCCGCACAAGCGGUGGAGCAUGUGGUUUAAUUCGAAGCAACGCGAAGAACCUUACCAAAUCUUGACAUCCUUUGACAACUCUAGAGAUAGAGCCUUCCCCUUCGGGGGACAAAGUGACAGGUGGUGCAUGGUUGUCGUCAGCUCGUGUCGUGAGAUGUUGGGUUAAGUCCCGCAACGAGCGCAACCCUUAAGCUUAGUUGCCAUCAUUAAGUUGGGCACUCUAAGUUGACUGCCGGUGACAAACCGGAGGAAGGUGGGGAUGACGUCAAAUCAUCAUGCCCCUUAUGAUUUGGGCUACACACGUGCUACAAUGGACAAUACAAAGGGCAGCGAAACCGCGAGGUCAAGCAAAUCCCAUAAAGUUGUUCUCAGUUCGGAUUGUAGUCUGCAACUCGACUACAUGAAGCUGGAAUCGCUAGUAAUCGUAGAUCAGCAUGCUACGGUGAAUACGUUCCCGGGUCU
rnacentral:rRNA from 1 species